GAUGAACGCUGGCGGCGUGCCUAAUACAUGCAAGUCGAGCGAACAGACGAGGAGCUUGCUCCUCUGACGUUAGCGGCGGACGGGUGAGUAACACGUGGAUAACCUACCUAUAAGACUGGGAUAACUUCGGGAAACCGGAGCUAAUACCGGAUAAUAUAUUGAACCGCAUGGUUCAAUAGUGAAAGACGGUUUUGCUGUCACUUAUAGAUGGAUCCGCGCCGCAUUAGCUAGUUGGUAAGGUAACGGCUUACCAAGGCAACGAUGCGUAGCCGACCUGAGAGGGUGUUCGGCCACACGGGAACUGAGACACGGUCCAGCCCCCUACGGGAGGAAGCAGUGGGGAAUCUUCCGCAAGGGGGGAAAGCCUGACGGAGAAACGCCGCGUGAGUAAUGAAGGUCUUCGGAUCGUAAAACUCUGUUAUUAGGGAAGAACAAAUGUGUAAGUAACUAUGCACGUCUGGACGGUACCUAAUCAGAAAGCCACGGCUAACUACGU
rnacentral:rRNA from 1 species